UGGCUAUCUGUCUGUGAGGGGCUCCUGGGCGUGGUAGCCACUUUCGUCCUGAGCGGCUCCCCCCAGCACUAUGAAAAGAUACACACUCCGGGCGGCCACAGUUGGUUUCUCCCACUCACAGACACACCCACCCACACACCCAACCCCUCCUCCGCCGCGCCUGCUCCCUCCCCACGUGUCAGCACCGCUUGGGCCCGCCCUGCGUUCAGCCUAACUCUGCAGUCACCCACCCCAGCGCUGAGGACGCAGGCCACACCGGCCAGCCUGCAGUAUGGAAGUGGGGGCAGGGAAGGGAGGAGGGAAUCGCGAGUGAAGAAGGCACACUUUUAAGGAAGGUGCAAUGGGUCCUGUCUGGUUGUGAUCGAUCUGCUUUCAUUGGUGCCUUGACUCAGAUGGGGCUCCCCUGCCUUUAAGUGGAACCCCCGUCCCACCGGAGAUCACCACCUGAGCGGAGACCACUUCUUCACAUCCACCAUCAGCCUACAAAUGGAUGUUGUCUCAGGAGACAAGGAUAUUCCCAUCCCCCUCAUGGCUCACAUAAACCCCGUCACAAACGAGCCGCCCAACUUAUCCUCUUACUGGCUAUUCUGGAAAUAACGGCAGAACUGGCUACAGGCACAGCAGGGAUGACGACGUCCCUUACCUACUACCACCAGCUGUCUAGCCAAAUCUAUCUUACUCUCGAAGUCAGCUAGAUUCUUACAAAACCACCGCAGCUUACACUUGCUUACAGAGGAGAAGGGAGGACUUUGCCUAUAUCAUUUCAGGAAGAAUGCUGUUUUAUGUUAAUCAGUCAGGAGUGGUAAAAAAUAAGAUCAAACAACUACAAGAGCAAUUAGAGAAAAGGAAACAACAGAGGGCCCAGUCCUCUCUAUGGAAUAUGUCUCCAGGUUCUAUUAUCAGUUGGGUCCUCCCAUUACUUGGCCCUCUAAUUGGGAUUUUGUUUGUUUGUUUGUUUUGUGCCUUUCUAUCCUGUAUCAUAAAAUUCCUACAAAAUCAAAUAGGCAGAAUAUCUAAUCAGACCUUUAACCAGCUUCUCCAGGAUUACCAACUAUUUGCUACCUCAGAAGACACCUAUUCCUCCUGUGAAGGCCUCACCAACUGCUGAUGGAACUUUAUCACUUUGAAUAUGGAGCUACAAAUUGGAAACACAACUGGAGGAACUUCACUAGCCUGUCACCCAGGGUUUCUAGGCCCAUUCGCCCUCGGGUGCCUCCUCCUGACUGCUGGCCUUUUCUCAGCCAGUCCCCCUGCUGGACUUCCUGCCAGAAGCUAAUGUUGUGUCUCCUCUUUCUUCUUCUCGUUGCCUUCGGGUGUCUUCGGUGUCUUUAGGCUCAUCAUGUGGCUCACCCAAUUCGUGGAGUUCACGGAGACCCUCUAACAGGACAGCUGGCUGAUUCCCUCAUUUGCAGUGAUGAGGGUUGGAUGGAGACUAUCCAUGAUCUGUAGCUUCAGGGAAUUUUCAUGGAUUUCAGCCCAGAGGAAAUUUAUGGCUUCGGUGCCUGGGUCUUCACAAUGAUGCUUCUUCUCUCUCUGUUUCCAGACAUCCCUCCCCUCCUUUUUCCACAUCUUCCCACGUCAGCAGGAAGUAGCUAGACUAAGUCAGUGCCCCCAUCCCCAAUUUAAAGCAAAAUAGUGAGGAAUGUUAGGUACCAGGGAGUUUCCAUUUCCCAGGAGAAGCCUUGCCCCUUCCCACUCCACCACCCAUUCCCACCUAGUGACAACCAGGCCAUUGACAACACAGUAUGUCACCCUCCCCACCACCUUCCACCUGCCAAUAGCAGGAUCCCACGAGGAAGCAUUGCCCCUUUGAAUUCUCAGGCCCGAUCAGCUCGUGCCCAUCCUCUAAGGGACCUACCUCACCCAGUGCUGAUGGAGGCACGGCUGCUGUCCCCACUCGAGCAGGUGGGCAGCCGUCUCUUGCUUCCAAUAAAUCUCGUGGUUGAACCUCUA